GUGAAUCAUCGAAUUUUUGAACGCAAAUUGCGCUCCCUGGCAUUCCUGGAAGGAUGCCUGUUUGAGGGUCAGUAGUAAUUAAAAAUCGUAUCAGUUACAAAUUGUGAUGUUUACGGAGUUUGGAAUAUCUUAACAUUUUUUUUUAAGAGGCUUAAAAUUGACCUUUGUUUCGCUCUUUUAAAUGUACAUAAAUUCUUUCUAUGCGUUUAUUGUUAAUGCUAAAAUCUUAUUAGAUGAGAUCACAC
rnacentral:misc_RNA from 1 species